rnacentral:misc_RNA from 1 species
AAUUCUCAACCUCACCAGUUUUGUAACGAGACCGGUGAAGGCUUGGAUGUGGGGGUUUUGCAGGCUGCCUCAGUGCUGGUCUGCUCCCCUGAAAUGCAUUAGCGAGCUCAUACUGAGCUUCCGUCUAUUGGUGUGAUAAUUAUCUAUGCCGUGGAUUGGAACUCAUGCUUGCUUCUAACCGUCCGCAAGGACAAAUUACUUGACCA